AGUCGAGAGCUUUCGGAGCUCGGCAUACUGCUCAGUAACACGUGGGUAACCUGCCCUGUGCUGGGGGAUAACCUCGGGAAACUGAGAACAAUACCCCAUAGUCCACUACGCCUGGAACGGUGAGUGGAUGAAAGCCCCGGCGGCACAGGAUGGGCCUGCGGCGUAUCAGGUAGUAGGGGGUGUAAAGUACCCUCUAGCCUUCGACGCGUACGGGUUGUGAGAGCAAUAGCCCGGAGAUGGAUUCUGAGACACGAAUCCAGGUCCUACGGGACGCAGCAGUCGCGAAACCUUGACAAUGCGGGAAACCGUGAUCAGGGGACUCCAAGUGCCAGGAGUAAGAUCCUGUGCUUUUCUUUUCUCUUCAAGGGAUUUGGAAUAAGAGGUGGGUAAGGACGGUGCCAGCCGCCGCGGUAAUACCGGCGCCUCGAGUGGUAGUCGAUUUUAUUGGGCCUAAAACGUCCGUCGCCGGUCUGGUGCAUUCGUGGGUAAAUCAACCCGCUCAACGGGUUGAAUUCUGCGAGCACGGCCAGACUAGGGACCGGGAGAGGUGUGGGGUACGCUCGGGGUAGGGGUAAAAUCCUGUCAUCCCGAGCGGACCACCUGUUGCGAAGGCUCCACACUAGAACGGAUCCGACGGUCAGGGACGAAGCCUAGGGGCACGAACCGGAUUAGAUACCCGGGUAGUCCU
rnacentral:rRNA from 1 species